rnacentral:rRNA from 1 species
UUCAAUUGGAGAGUUUGAUCCUGGCUCAGAAUUAACGCUGGCGGCAUGCCUAACACAUGCAAGUCGAGCGAGAAACCGCCCUUCGGGGCGGGAGUACAGCGGCGCACGGGUGAGUAGCGCGUGGGUAAUCUACCUCUGUCUGGGGGAUAACACACCGAAAGGUGUGCUAAUACCGCAUAAUCUGGCCAACCUGCGGGGAAGCCGGCAAAGAUGGCCUCUUGAUCAAAGCUGUCGGAUGGAGAUGAGCCCGCGUCCCAUUAGCUAGUUGGUAGGGUAACGGCCUACCAAGGCGACGAUGGGUAGCUGGUCUGAGAGGACGACCAGCCACACUGGAACUGGAACACGGUCCAGACUCCUACGGGAGGCAGCAGUGAGGAAUAUUGCGCAAUGGGGGAAACCCUGACGCAGCGAUGCCGCGUGGGUGAAGAAGGCUUUCGGGUCGUAAAGCCCUGUCAGGUGGGAAGAAUGGCUUCUUAUUGAACAGAUAGGAAGCAUGACGGUACCACCGAAGGAAGCACCGGCUAACUCCGUGCCAGCAGCCGCGGUAAGACGGAGGGUGCAAGCGUUAUUCGGAAUCAUUGGGCGUAAAGAGCGUGUAGGCGGCCGGUUAAGUCAGGUGUGAAAGCCCGGGGCUCAACCUCGGAAGUGCACUUGAAACUGGUCGGCUUGAGUUCGGGAGAGGGA